rnacentral:lncRNA from 1 species
AAAACACCAAGUUUUGGAAAUUCUUCAAAAUAAAAUAACAAUAAAGCAGCCAGAAUAGUUUAAUUUUGACUGACGGUGUGAAAUACAUAAAAAGAGUGUAGGAUUUUGGAUUAUGGGGCAUUCUAUGUUAAUCUAAAGUGAUUUAAAAAGAAAAUAACGCGAUGCUUUGCACAGCUGAUUGCACGUUCUAAUUUAUCCCAAUUUCACAUAUUCCUUCACAUUUUCAUUUUUGUAGUUUGAAUUUAAAAUAUAUAUAUUUUUCAAACUUGCUCUUUGCUGAUGAAGCAAACCGUAGCUGGAAAUCCAAACCUACGUGUCCAGAUUUGGCAUCAAGAUUUGCUUUGAAAGAGACUCAGGCUUAACUUCUUACAUUUUUUCUUCUGUGAAGCAGGUAGCUAAUGCUAGGAUGCUGUGAUAAAGCACAUCGCUUUCAAUAUAGACUGUGUAUUUGUCUAACGCCUGUAAUGUAGCGUUGUAGAGUUCCUCUGAGCUGGUAGGAAAUCCACCUUCUAAAUAGAAAUGCUGCCAAGAAUCUGAAAGAUUAAAAUAAAAUAUGCAGUUUUCAUGAAUUUUGUUCCUGAAUUGUUUUUUUUUUUUUUUUUG